GACGUAGGGCGCGAGCGUUGUCCGGAUUUAUUGGGCGUAAAGAGCUCGUAGGCGGCUUGUCGCGUCGUCUGUGAAAUCCCGCGGCUCAACCGCGGGUCUGCAGUCGAUACGGGCAGGCUAGAGUUCGGUAGGGGAGACUGGAAUUCCUGGUGUAGCGGUGAAAUGCGCAGAUAUCAGGAGGAACACCAAUGGCGAAGGCAGCACUCUGGGACGUGACUGACGCUGAGACGCGAAAGCGUGGGGAGCAAACAGG
rnacentral:rRNA from 1 species